UGGGGAAUAUUGCACAAUGGGCGCAAGCCUGAUGCAGCCAUGCCGCGUGUGUGAAGAAGGCCUUCGGGUUGUAAAGCACUUUCAGCGGGGAGGAAGGCGUUAAGGUUAAUAACCUUGGCGAUUGACGUUACCCGCAGAAGAAGCACCGGCUAACUCCGUGCCAGCAGCCGCGGUAAUACGGAGGGUGCAAGCGUUAAUCGGAAUUACUGGGCGUAAAGCGCACGCAGGCGGUUUGUUAAGUCAGAUGUGAAAUCCCCGGGCUCAACCUGGGAACUGCAUUCGAAACUGGCAGGCUAGAGUCUUGUAGAGGGGGGUAGAAUUCCAGGUGUAGCGGUGAAAUGCGUAGAGAUCUGGAGGAAUACCGGUGGCGAAGGCGGCCCCCUGGACAAAGACUGACGCUCAGGUGCGAAAGCGUGGGGAGCAAACAGG
rnacentral:rRNA from 1 species